rnacentral:rRNA from 1 species
CACGUAGGGCGCGAGCGUUGUCCGGAAUUAUUGGGCGUAAAGAGCUCGUAGGCGGCCUGUUGCGUCCGCUGUGAAAGCCCGGGGCUUAACCCCGGGUCGGCAGUGGAUACGGGCAGGCUAGAGGUAGGUAGGGGAGAAUGGAAUUCCCGGUGUAGCGGUGAAAUGCGCAGAUAUCGGGAGGAACACCGGUGGCGAAGGCGGUUCUCUGGGCCUGUUCUGACGCUGAGGCGCGAAAGCUAGGGGGAGCGAACAGG